rnacentral:rRNA from 1 species
UACGGAGGGUGCAAGCGUUAAUCGGAAUUACUGGGCGUAAAGGGUUCGUAGGUGGUUAGAUAAGUUAUCUGUAAAAUCCCUGGGCUUAACCUGGGCAGGUCAGAUAAGACUGUUUGACUCGAGUAUGGGAGAGGGUAGUGGAAUUUCCGGUGUAGCGGUGAAAUGCGUAGAGAUCGGAAGGAACACCAGUGGCGAAGGCGGCUACCUGGCCCAAUACUGACACUGAGGAACGAAAGCGUGGGGAGCAAACAGG